rnacentral:rRNA from 1 species
UACGUAGGGGGCAAGCGUUGUCCGGAAUCAUUGGGCGUAAAGCGCGUGUAGGCGGCUCGGUAAGUCCGCUCUGAAAGUCCAGGGCUCAACCCUGGGAUGCGGGUGGAUACUGCCGGGCUCGAGUCCGGAAGAGGCGAGUGGAAUUCCUGGUGUAGCGGUGAAAUGCGCAGAUAUCAGGAAGAACACCAAUGGCGAAGGCAGCUCUCUGGGACGGUACUGACGCUGAGACGCGAAAGCGUGGGGAGCGAACAGG